UUAGAAAGAAACAAAAAAAAAUAAAGAAAGAAAAAUUAGUGCAGCAACUAACAUGAGCUGAGGUAUAGAAUAGCCUACCUGAACUAUUUUCUUCACUUUGUAUAUUCC
rnacentral:ribozyme from 1 species